rnacentral:rRNA from 1 species
GACGAACGCUGGCGGCGUGCUUAACACAUGCAAGUCGAGCGGAAAGGCCCUGCUUUUGUUGGGUGCUCGAUUGCCGAACGGGUGAGUAACACAUGAGUAACCUGCCCUUGACUUUCUGAUAACUUCAGGGAACUCGGGCUAUUAUCGGGUAUAAUCUCCUGAAGCAUGGGGGUCGUUGGAGAGAGUCGGCGGUAGGGGAUGUUAUCGCGGGUUCUGCGCUGCUUUGGGGGGUAGUUGAGUACCAAGGGUUUGAAGGGUAGCCGGCCUAGGAGCGUGGCCGGGCACAAUAGGACUGCGAGACGGACCAGAAUGGUACGGGAGGCAGCAGGCGGGAAUAUUGCACAAUGGGCGGAAGUGUGAUGUAGCAGUGCUGCGUGCGGGAUGACGGCCUUCGGGUUGUAAACAGCUUUCGACUGUGACGAAGCGUGAGUGACGGUAAUGGGUAAAGAAGCAACGGCUAACUACGUG